rnacentral:lncRNA from 1 species
AGCAAAUAAACAACACACUCAUACAUACUACAAGUGAACCUUUCAGACAGGCCAUUUUACGAGGAACUGACAUUGUUCCAAGUACAACCCAUGUCCCUUUAAGUAGUGCCACUGUGUCUGAGUCUGAGUGUCCUGGUCGCAGAGAGCCCAGCUGAGAGGUCAGGCGUCGAGCGAGUAGGUGCCAUGGUGUGGGAUACCGUCAUGUCUGCCUGGUGAGGUAUACAGACGAGGAGGCAUAGAAAGGUAUUGGUAUGUUAUGCAGAUCACAUUUACCAUCCUCCUCCCUUACCUCUUCAAUAAAAAUCACAUAGGCCUCUACAUUAUGGACAAGACUUCACCCUCCCUACACCUCUGAUUAAUAUAACAGGAAACCUGUUUGAUCACCAUGUACUGCAAAAUCAUUCUGGCUAUGGAUACGGAGAACAUCAACACAUUAACAUCAACACGUCAGAGGAUAAACCGAUUGGACUUGGGGCUCUGCUGGGAGUUUACCUCAUACUUAGAUUUUCUAUUCUGCUUUGCCACUAAAAUCAUAAUAAACACUGACAACUAAAA